UCAGAAAAAGCCAAACCCAGCGAGAGCUGGGGACGGAAAGCCACGGGUCUCGCCAAGGAUCAGGAGACAGCCGGGUUGCCUGAA
rnacentral:ncRNA from 1 species